CAGUAUAUCUACCUGAAAAUCCAGCUGUCAUUGGUGGAGCCAUAGGAGGUGCUGUUGCAGCAGUGGUCUUUCUCCUCAUCAUCACUAUGAUUUUUGUUGUCGGCUUACGGAGGAAGAAAAAUAAAGAGGACACUCCAGGAGUGCCCAUCCACUCCAUAAG